rnacentral:lncRNA from 1 species
CCUGAUUCCUACAAAUUUUAACAAGCGCCACCUUUGAUGGGAGACUCGCAAGCGCUAAUGAGCUUCUUUGCCGACAGGUGGAGAGAGGGCCUCGGACCCACAGUCAGAGGCACAGUCUGCAGGCUGGGGGAGCAGACGCUAUUUAUAAAGCUUCUCUCCGGGGUCGGUCACCGGCGGUCAAAGCCUGGGAGCUCCUCUGCCCGGGCCACUCCCGAUGCUCUGGGUGUACGCGGAGCCACGGUCCCCUCUCCCUUCGCCAGUGCCCUGAGGCGGAUGGAUCCGACGGGAGCGGCCACCGACCAGAACCAAGUGGAACUGCAUUAA